CUCGCUAUCUGAUGCCAUAAUUUAGUACGUGAACAUUCAAUUAGUGUGUAUAUUUAAAUAUUUUGAUAGAACGCGAUAACAUACAUGUUAUACACUAUCAAACACAUGUGAAGGUCUUGUGUUUCAUUGAAAGUCAAAUUUUAGUGGAGAACCUUGGAACAAUAAGGCAUGAUGACGGAAAUCGAUGUUGAUAAAAUGGAUUUGGAUGAUGCAUACGACUGGUUAGACAACAAGGAUAUUGAACAUAAUCUGGAGUCACUGGAUGAAAUGAAAGAGCUUAUUCGCAUAACAAUUCAGGGUCAAUCAAAGGAGUUUCAAGAACAGAUCAGCGAGAAAGUGGAGAAGGCUUUGCUCCUAGAAAUAUCAAUGAAGCAGGAUAUUUCAGACAUAUAUACAUCUUUUAUUGAUGUGAUCGACAUGCUACCAUCCGAAGUGACAAUGGCGGGUUUUGGAAGAGGAUGUGAGUGUAAGCAUAAAUCGCAUAUAUAUGAGGUGAUUGAGGAGCAAGGCGUAUCUGUUAAUAUGUGUACCUUACUGGAUACCUGACUGGGACUGUGAGUGUUCUUUGUUAAAAUAGCAACAUAAUCAACUCAUGUUAAGUGCAAACAACUCAAAAUGUAUAAUUGUUCUUUUAACCUCCGACACAGCAAAGUUUCGCAUGUCAUUUUAUUUACCAACAGAGUCGCUCAGAACCAGACUGACCUUCAUGUAGUUGAAGGAAAGCAUAUCGAUUCAUUCGAUUGCGAGCGAUUUCGCUCAUUUAUGGUGAUAGUUGUUUCGCAAUAUUCGACUUUUGUUGUUUAAUAAACAAAUACAUAUUCGUUCAA